CUCUCCGCUGGAAGGUCCUGCCAGGCCAGCUUCAAUAACCGGCAAUCAACGUUGAAGUGCGUGAUUGAACGUAACAUCGGUUUCCGUAGAUUCGAAAGUGAUCCCAUUGUAUAACCGUGGAAUCUAGAGCUAAUACAUAUAUGAUGAAAUACAGUAAUGUAUUUUAUCGGCAUUUAUUAGACAAAACCAAAUACAUUUCAAUGAAUAAUUGAUUUGUAGGUGAUUCUAGAUAACUUUGCAGAUCGCAUGGUAUAUACCGGCGACAUUUCGAUUGAAUUUCUGCCCUAUCAACUCGUUGGUAAGGUAGUGGCUUACCAAGGUUGCAACGGGUAACGGGGGAUCAGGGUUCGAUUCCGGAGAGGGAGCCUGAGAAACGGCUACCACAUCCAAGGAAGGCAGCAGGCGCGUAAAUUACCCAAUCCAGACAAUGGGAGGUGGUGACCAGAAGUACUGGGUGGUGAUCAUUGAUCGCUAAUCCCGGAAUGAGCAUAAAGUAAAAAUUUAGUCGAGAAACAACUGGAGGGCAAGUCUGGUGCCAGCAGCCGCGGUAAUUCCAGCUCCAGUGGCAUGUCGUAAAGUUGUUGCGUUUAAAACGCUCGUAGUUGGAUCAUAUGGUAUAUUAUAGUGAAUAUCUAUUUUAACAUAAUAUCCAUUUUGAACAUAAUGAGUAGUUAAAUCUACUAUUAUUGUUUAUGUAUGGGGUUAAAAUAGUAUAUUUAUAGCUAUAAUAUACUAUUUGCACGUGAGAAUAAUGAUUAGCCUUUAAUGUGUUGGUCAUUGUAUCUUACGGGGUGUGCCUUGAAUAAAUCAGAGUGCUCAAAGCAGGUAUGUGCCUGAAUGAUACAGCAUGGAACGAACAAACGUGUAACGUAAACAAGGUUACGAUUAAUUUACGAACUGUAUACCUUAUAUUUGCAUCAGCCAACCACCAUGUACGGAUGUUGGUUUCCGUAAUGGGGUGAGGAUUAAAACGACCGGUUGGGGGCAUUGGUAUUUGGCCGAGAGAGGUGAAAUUCUUAGACCGGGCCAAGGACUAACAAAAGCGAAGGCAUUUGCCAAGACCGUAUCGAUUAAUCAAGAACCAUAGAGAGAGGUUCGAAGACAAUCAAAUACCGUCCUAAUUCCCUCUUGUAAACUAUGCCAACCCGAGAACACGCCUCAGAGUUAUUAAAUUACCCCUCAAGGUUGGCCCCCCUGGGAAACCCCAAGUCUUUGCGUUACGCGGGGAGUAUGGUCGCAAGGCUGAAACUUAAAGGAAUUGACGGAAGGGCACCACCAGGGGUGGAGCCUGCGGCUUAAUCUGACUCAACACGGGAAAACUCACCGGUUCCGGACGUUAAAAGGAUAGACAGACUGAUAGAUCUUUCUUGAUAUAAUGUGUGGUGGUGCAUGGCCGUUCUUAGUUCGUGAAGUGAUUUGUCUUGGUCGAUUCCGGUAACGAACGAGACCAAAAUCUCCAUUUACAGUGCAAAAUAGUUGAUAAAUUUAUUUGUCAACUCUAGUUUUGAGUUCCAUAUGAUAAUGUAACAAUUAUGAUUUGGUUUUUGAGACUUUUCUUUUGCAAUGACGUGUACGGUAACGUAUGCGUCUGCAUGGAGAGACAACUGACUUAAAUCAGAGGAAGUUUGGCAAUAACAGGUCUGUGAUGCCCUUAGACGUACCGGGCUGCACGCGCGCUACAAUGACGGUGACAACGAGUUAUCUGGUCCGAAAGGAUUGGGAAAUCUUUGAAUCACCGAUCGUGAUGGGGACUGUCCAUUGUAAUUUGGACACGAAAUAGGAAUCCCUUGUACGUGCACUUCACUUAGAGUGCGCGGAAUGAGUCCCUGCCCUUUGUACACUCCGCCCGUCGCUACUACCGAGUGAUCUGGUCGAUCAUGCGCAGUCAUCAAAAGAGUGCCUGCAAUUUCCGUUGGUCCGAUAUGCCUGGCCUUCUCCUUCAGUUGC
rnacentral:rRNA from 1 species